UGACAACACGCUCGUUGUUGUGUGUCGCAACUCGUGAGAAACCCCUCGGGAGCCAUCGCGGUAGCCCUCCGGUAAAGCUCGUGAGAGUUGCUCGACCACGAUUUUUCCGUCAUGUUUUUGUCACCGAGUGAUGUUGGCGUGAUCCAUCGAUCCAGAGGGUCGAAUUCGAUCGAGCGAAAAGCAGACGAUGAGCAUGAAAUCGAGGGCGAUCGCAAAUGAUCCUCGAUAUUAUCCGCUCGAUGUGAGCAUGCGGACACACAUCACUUUAAUCACGCGCCACGCAGGAUAAGCCGCAAAAUCGAUCGAGUCGGCGACUUUUUAGCUUCGAAAUCAAUAGGAAGGAUGCGAGUCGGGGGAGCAAGUCUGCGGGAAAACGAUGACCGAUUGUAGAAAUUCGUGGAAAAGUGAAUGAAAUAAAACUCAAGACCCGUUUGUGCUCGACGUUACGCCCAGCAUAUUUUUCUCUCUUUUG